CGAACGCUGGCGGCGUACAUAACACAUGCAAGUCGGACGAGAAAUUCCGAUUCGUCGGGAGAGUAAAGUGGCGAACGGGUGAGUAACACGAGGGUAAUCUACCCUUAAAUUAGGGAUAACCUUGCGAAAGCGAAGCUAAUACCUGAUAAGACUACGAUCUCCAAGGAGAUAGUAGGAAAAGAUGGCCUCUGUUUCAUGCUAUUGUUUAAGGAUGAGCCCUUGCACUAUUAGCUUGUUGGUGGGGUAAUGGCCCACCAAGGCUACGAUGGUUAGCUGGUCUGAGAGGAUGAUCAGCCACACUGGAACUGAGACACGGUCCAGACUCCUACGGGAGGCAGCAGUGAGGAAUAUUGCGCAAUGGGGGAAACCCUGACGCAGUGACGCCGCGUGAGCGAUGAAGGCUUUCGAGUCGUAAAGCUCUGUUAGGUGGAAAGAAACAUUCCAGUGCCAAUACCACUGGAAUUUGACGGUACCACCAGAGGAAGCACCGGCUAACUCC
rnacentral:rRNA from 1 species